GGGCAUCUGGUGGAUGCCUAGGCGUCAAGAGGCGAUGAAGGACGUGGCACUCUGCGAUAAGCCAUGGGGAGCCGAGAGCAGGCUUUGAUCCGUGGAUUUCCGAAUGGGGCAACCCACCCCUUUGGGGUAUCCAUUUCUGAAUUCAUAGGAAAUGGAGGCGAACCCGGUGAACUGAAACAUCUCAGUAACCGGAGGAAAGGACAUCAACCGAGACUCCGUUAGUAGUGGCGAGCGAACGCGGACUAGCCCAGUGACUUGAAGUUUCUAACCAGAACGGCAUGGAAAGGCCGGCCACAGCGGGUGACAGCCCCGUAUGGGUGUUGAAGCUUUAAGUCCUUGAGUAGGGCGGGGCACGUGAAACCCUGUCUGAACAUGGGGGGACCACCCUCCAAGGCUAAGUACUCCUUGACGACCGAUAGUGAACCAGUACCGUGAGGGAAAGGUGAAAAGCACCCCGAUGAGGGGAGUGAAACAGUUCCUGAAACCGGAUGCCU
rnacentral:ncRNA from 1 species